rnacentral:rRNA from 1 species
UACAGAGACUGCAAGCGUUAUUCGGAUUCACUGGGCGUAAAGGGUGCGCAGGCGGCCAAGUGUGUGAGGCGUGAAAGCCCGGGGCUUAACCCCGGAAUUGCACCUCAAACUACAUGGCUAGAGCAUUGGAGAGGGUAGCGGAAUUCCGAGUGUAGAGGUGAAAUUCGUAGAUAUUCGGAAGAACACCAGUGGCGAAGGCGACUUACUGGACACAUAUUGACGCUGAGGUGCGAAAGCGUGGGGAGCAAACAGG